UAUUUUCACGCUAAAUCACCCUACUGGAACGUACGUUUUCAGAUCUGAGGCGUCGGAUCACCUCCGUCGAUUUGUUAUUUACCGAUUUUAUGCCGCCGGAAACGAUUGUUUCCAUACCAAAUUGUGGCCGUUAAACUCCUUCGAGCAAAUCGACGAAUGUGUAAAAUCUGUUUACUACACCUUAGGAACAAGUACAUCAUUAUCGCGGAAAAACUAAGGAAUGGAUUUUUUUUUGACUGAGGAGAACACUUCGAGCACUGAAUAGCAUGUGAAAUUAAUGAGAUCUUUUAAUACAUGGAGUUUUGGAGGUACAGCAGUACUUUUUAACAGUUUCUUGGAUACAGGAUAAACCAAUCCAAUUUACAUAUCAAUCCAAAAUGCUUGUCAAUUUUUAGAACUAAUUUGACAGAACCAACAAAUGUAGCAACAACGAGAAACGAUGGACCUAGAAAUUAAGACUAGUGCAGCUCCCUGGAGAAUUCCGCAGAGCUGGGCAUGUUGAAUUGAUUGAGUUGGAGCACUGGAGUGGGAGGAAAUCCAAUUACCAAUCAUAAACUCUACACAAACGAUGUUGUGGUGACUGCGCGUCUUCCUCUUAUUCAUAUGGUUUUGGCAAAACAUGCCUAAGGUAUGAUCCAUAUCAGUGACUGUAAUCUUUAUGAAGAUGUUCAAGAGAAAGAAAAUGAAGAGAGAUAGUGUAGAUGUUGAAUACUACUAACCUCUUUGGAGAGUUCCAAGCAAGCCAUUGACAUAAUGACCCAAAGGUUUUGCUUAAUUAAUUAAAAGAUUUGGUAUACUAGUGAGUUUUCUCAAUGGUGGAAGAUGGGAGAAGAAACCAAGAAAGAAAAGAGUUUGUGAGUAAAUUGCAAGUGAAUGAAACUAUAUAUAGAAGUUAGUGAGAGUUAAGUGGGCGGUAGAGGCAAAAUGAUUUUUAAUAUUAGGAAGAAAAAGGAAGAAGAAAGAAUUAAUAGGUACAAGACCAUUUUGUUUUAAUUAAGUUGAUAUUUUUGGACGUAAGCAAAUGGGAUAUGAGAGGGUAGCUUACUUUUUGUUUGUUAUCCAACACAUCAAACAAAUUACCUAAUAUUGAGUGUCACCAAUCUACUCAUCUCAUGUUCGAAUUCUGAAUAAUAUUAUCUUUGAUAAAGAUUGUUUAAUAAGACUUUUCAAUAUUAUUUUAUAUUAAUCAAAUUUCAAAAUACGUAUCAAACAUUAGAUGAAAAAACUAAUAAUAUUGGGUCACCCUAAAUAUUGUGUUGAAAUAAUCGUGCUUGUCGAGUCUUAAUAAGAGUUCUUGAUUUCAAGCUUUGGAUAUGAACGUACUUUUGAUGGGGAGUGAUUUAGUAGGACGCUUUGGUGCGAAUUAAAUUUGACAAUUAGUCGAGCAAUGAAAAAUUAUAAAAAGACGAAUGUGUAGGGGUCCCAUAUAUUUGAAUGUCAUUUGGUGUUCUUUCAAUUGGUUGAGUUGAGUUGAAUCGACACAUCAAACACUUUAGUGUGAAGCUCUGUUGAAUGAUUUUGAAGGCCUGUGAUACAAAGUUGGACAGAGAUUUUGAUUGACACUUUUAUGAACCUUAUUUGCUUUACCUAAAUUAUUAUUAUUUAAUUCCUUUUAUCAAAUGUUUAGUUAUUACUUAA